rnacentral:lncRNA from 1 species
CAGGGCAAAAACACUUGUGAUGUGACAGAUGAACAGGCUAGCACCCUGGAAAACCUAAUACUUUUAGUGAGAUGUUAGAAAGUAUGUAUUUUUGUCCGUUCAGAUUUUUUAGGAAUCUUGCAUGUAUGGGGGAUAAAUAGACAUAAAAGUAUUAAACUAUCUGCACAAAAUCAACUUAGUUAUCUACUUGCCUAAAGCCCUUUGCAGUCAGAAUUCUCCUUUGUUAAGAGUUGAAUAUGAGUAUUGUUGUUUCUGUUUACCCCUGGCCCCCUUCAAGAAUCCACAGCUCAGCUGUCUAUACAGUCAUCCUGUGACAGCUUCAUCAUCACCCUCACCUCCUCCCAGGGUUUCCCCCAGCCUGAUGUGUGGUGGACAGACUCCAUUGGAGGAGACAUCUACAAUUAGAGCCACUGCUAAAUCGGUCUGGAAAGCAGGGGGCGCUAUGAGGUCCACAGCUCCAUGGAGGUCAGGCCAAACAGUACACUCACCAUCAUUGCUGAAAUGAGACUGGAGGAUCUCAAUCAAAGCUUCACCCGCUCGCUCACCCUCCACCCACUCCCAGAAUGCUGUGAGCUGCCUCUUGCAACCGGGGGCAGACCGGCUUUGGUAUUAUUAGGGAUAGUUCUCUUAGCAGCUUCAGACGUCUGAAACACACCAACACCAGCUGAUCCCACAUGACUAUACAACAGGACAAGAUGAAGCUCAUGAAACAGAGACUUGAUACAUCAUGAACAAAAAUUAGUUAUAAAAGUCUAAGCUUACAGGACUGUUUCAAUGUCACAAAUAUAGGUGUGUGUGUUGCUGCCUUCUGAAAUAUUUCCACUCCCUAUUGGUAAUGUAUUAUAGAGUACUGCUAGCAGUAGACUUUGCUACUCUCUGCAGCCCUAUGUAAUCCAGACUAUUUUGUUUUCUUUGGGGAUGCAGAGCUGUCAUGAAGGCGAAGAGUGGCUGCUUUGAAGAGUCUCAAAUAUACAUUUAGAUUUGUUUAACUCUUUUUUGAUUACGGCAUGAUUUCAUAAAGUGUUAUUUCAUAGUUUUGAUGUCUUCACUAUUAUGCUACAAUGUAGAAAAUAGUACAAAUAAAGAAAAACCUUUGAAUGAGUUGGUGUGUCCAAACAUUUGACUGGUACUGUACAUUUUGUCCAAUGUUACUGUCAAAUGUGGCCUGGUAACAACAACUGGGAAAAGUACUAUCCACCUUACAGUUGGGCUGGUUGUAAAAGUUGAUGCUACAUGACGUUGUGGAUGUAACUGCAACGUCUGGGGCAUAUUACAGAAAUAUUUCACGUUAUUACAUGGUGCUUGGAGUCACUCUGUGAGACAGUUCAUUACAUUAAUGAUAUACCGUUGCUGCAACACAGGCAUUUUGAAAAGCAACUAUUCAACCAGGAUAUCAACCAAUAGUUGUUGGUUACAAGACAUUUUAAAGUUGAAUAAAUAUGUUAGCAGCUCUGUAAUGCAUUUCAGUUACUCACCCCCCCCCCCCCUUAAACUAUACAAACACGCCCAUGACAUGUGUAUUUAAGUAAAAUAAAUCCUCACACCUCUCGUCACACCCCCAAAAUCCUCAUGAGGUUCUAUAGUCAAUUCUUGUUCAGACCUCUGUCACCCUAUUGUUUAUUGAGCUAACAGUAAAUAAGAUCUGGCUCUCAUAUCCUGUUUCAAUAAAAAAUGUUCUGUAAUGGUAUCCAUGGUUUGUGUAAGCUCUCCUCGCCCGUCUCCUAAUGACAUACACUUAAGCCAGGUUCUGUUGACAUACACUUAAAACAUCCACGUGUAUGUAAUGAGCACUUCUUGUAAUCCAUGUUUAAAU